rnacentral:misc_RNA from 1 species
GAUGAAGAACGUAGCGAAAUGCGAUAAGUAAAGUGAAUUGCAGAAUUCAGUGAAUCAUCGAAUCUUUGAACGCACAUUGCGCCCGCUAGUAUUCUGGCGGGCAUGCCUGUUCGAGCGUCAUUUCAACCAUCAAGCCCUGCUUGUGUUGGGGUCCUGCGGCUGCCCGCAGGCCCUGAAAACCAGUGGCGGGCUCGCUAGUCACACCGAGCGCAGUAGCACAUCUCGCUCAGGGCGUGCGGCGGGUUCUUGCCGUAAAACACCCCCUUUUUACCAAGGUUGACCUCGGAUCAGGUAGGAAUACCCGCUGAACUUAAGCAUAUCAAUAAGCGGAGGA